AUGGGAACGCGAAGAACCUUACCUACUCUUGACAUCCAGAGAACUUUCCAGAGAUGGAUUGGUGCCUUCGGGAACUCUGAGACAGGUGCUGCAUGGCUGUCGUCAGCUCGUGUUGUGAAAUGUUGGGUUAAGUCCCGCAACGAGCGCAACCCGUUAUCCUUUGUUGCCAGCGGUUCGGCCGGGAACUCAAAGGAGACUGCCAGUGAUAAACUGGAGGAAGGUGGGGAUGACGUCAAGUCAUCAUGGCCCUUACGAGUAGGGCUACACACGUGCUACAAUGGCGCAUACAAAGAGAAGCGACCUCGCGAGAGCAAGCGGACCUCAUAAAGUAUGUCGUAGUCCGGAUUGGAGUCUGCAACUCGACUCCAUGAAGUCGGAAUCGCUAGUAAUCGUAGAUCAGAAUGCUACGGUGAAUACGUUCCCGGGUCUUGUACACACCG
rnacentral:rRNA from 1 species